rnacentral:rRNA from 1 species
AGAACGACUCUCGGCAACGGAUAUCUCGGCUCUCGCAUCGAUGAAGAACGUAGCGAAAUGCGAUACUUGGUGUGAAUUGCAGAAUCCCGUGAACCAUCGACUCUUUGAACGCAAGUUGCGCCCGAGGCCUACCGGCCGAGGGCACGCCUGUCUGGGCGUCACGC